rnacentral:rRNA from 1 species
GAUGAACGCUGACAGAAUGCUUAACACAUGCAAGUCAACUUGAACUUCGGUUUGGGUGGCGGACGGGUGAGUAACGCGUAAAGAACUUGCCUCACAGAUAGGGACAACAUUUGGAAACGAAUGCUAAUACCUGAAAUUAUGAUUAUAUGGCAUCGUAUAAUUAUGAAAGCUGUAUGCGCUGUGAGAGAGCUUUGCGUCCCAUUAGCUAGUUGGAGAGGUAACGGCUCACCAAGGCGAUGAUGGGUAGCCGGCCUGAGAGGGUGAUCGGCCACAAGGGGACUGAGACACGGCCCUUACUCCUACGGGAGGCAGCAGUGGGGAAUAUUGGACAAUGGACCAAGAGUCUGAUCCAGCAAUUCUGUGUGCACGAUGAAGUUUUUCGGAAUGUAAAGUGCUUUCAGUUGGGAGGAAAAAAAUGACGGUACCAACAGAAGAAGUGACGGCUAAAUACGUG